rnacentral:ncRNA from 1 species
UGUGAGGUUUGGUCCUAGCCUCAGUGUUAAUUGUAACCAGAAUUAUACAUGCAAGUUUCAGCACACCAGUGAGAAUGCCCUCAUCAACCUAUAAGUUGAUAAGGAGCAGGUAUCAGGCACACAUAUGUAGCCCAAGACACCUUGUUAAACCACACCCCCAAUGGUAUUCAGCAGUAAUAAACAUUGAUUUAUAAGCGUAAGCUUGAAUCAGUUAGAGUUAACUGGGUUGGUAAAUCUCGUGCCAGCCACCGCGGUUAUACGAGUAACCCUUAUUAAUAUUUCCACGGCGUAAAGAGUGGUUUAAGAAAUAAUCCUUAAUAAUUAAAGUCAAGACCCCAUUAAGCCGUUAUACGCUCUCAUGGGUAGAAUUAUCAGUAACGAAAGUAACUUUAUUUUACUAGACUACUUGAUGCCACGAUAGUUAGGUCCCAAACUAGGAUUAGAUACCCUACUAUGCCUAACCAUAAACUUAGACAAAAUUUUACUAAAAAUGUCCGCCAGAGUACUACAAGCGCUAGCUUAAAACCCAAGGGACUUGGCGGUACUCCAGACCCCCCUAGAGGAGCCUGUUCUAUAAUCGAUAAUCCCCGUUAAACCUCACCACUUCUUGCUAAUACCGCCUAUAUACCACCGUCGUCAGCUUACCCUGUGAAGGGUAAAAAGUAAGCAAAAAGAAAUAUCCUCAAUACGUCAGGUCAAGGUGUAGCGAAUGAAAUGGAAAGAAAUGGGCUACAUUCUCUAUUAAGAGAAUACGAAUAGUGGACUGAAAACCCACUUAAAGGUGGAUUUAGCAGUAAGGAAAAAUCAGAGUGUUUUCCUGAAGUAGGCUCUGGAGUGCGCACACACCGCCCGUCACUCUCCUCAACAAAGCCCUUAUUUUUUAUAAAACCUUAUUUUAUUCAAGAGGAGGCAAGUCGUAACAUGGUAAGUGUACUGGAAAGUGUACUUGGAAU